rnacentral:rRNA from 1 species
AUUGAACGCUGGCGGCAGGCCUAACACAUGCAAGUCGAGCGGAUGAGAGGAGCUUGCUUCUCGAUUCAGCGGCGGACGGGUGAGUAAUGCCUAGGAAUCUGCCUGAUAGUGGGGGACAACGUUUCGAAAGGAACGCUAAUACCGCAUACGUCCUACGGGAGAAAGCAGGGGACCUUCGGGCCUUGCGCUAAUAGAUGAGCCUAGGUCGGAUUAGCUAGUUGGUGAGGUAAUGGCUCACCAAGGCGACGAUCCGUAACUGGUCUGAGAGGAUGGUCAGUCACACUGGAACGGAGACACGGUCCAGACUCCUACGGGAGGCAGCAGUGGGGAAUAUUGGACAAUGGGCGAAAGCCUGAUCCAGCCAUGCCGCGUGUGUGAAGAAGGUCUUCGGAUUGUAAAGCACUUUAAGUUGGGAGGAAGGGUUGUAGAUUAAUACUCUGCAAUUUUGACGUUACCGACAGAAUAAGCACCGGCUAACUCUGUGCCAGCCGCCGCAGUAAUAC